rnacentral:rRNA from 1 species
CCUGGUCCACGGCCGACACACUAGAUACCUCCACCGGAGGGAGCAGCUAAAAUUAACGUGGACGCCGCUGUUGGAAGAGGAGGAAGAUAUGGAGCUGUGGGAGCAAUAUGCAGAGACCGCUCAGGUGCUUUCCUGGGAGCUUCGGCAAUGGUGUUCAUGAGAAUCUCAGACCCAGCUACUCUUGAAUGCUUGGCGAUCAGGGAGUCUCUUUACCUGGCAGAUGAUCUGUACGAACAGAAGAUUCAAGUUGCUUCAGAUUGCAAGGUGGUCGUGGAAGAUGUCAGAGAAAGAAACCCGACUGUUUAUGGAGCACUGAUACAUGAAAUAUUAGAAUGUAAGGCUACUUUUCAAGCUUGUAAUUUUAAUCAUGAAUUUAGGAGCUCGAAUGUCGAGGCUCACAAACUCGCGAAGCAUGCUUUAUCGCUUUCAGCUGGCCGACAUGUGUGGUUAGGCCAGCCGGAUGGACUUUCCUUCGUCCGUGUAAACGUUGUGACGAGUUAA